GGUUGAUCCUGCCAGUAGUCAUACGCUUGUCUCAAAGAUUUAGCCAUGCAUGUCUAAGUAUAAGCAUUUAUACAGUGAAACUGCGAAUGGCUCAUUAAAUCAGUUAUAAUUUACUUGAUGAUUCUUACUACUUGGAUAACCGUGGUAAUUCUAGAGCUAAUACAUGCACAAAAGCCCGACUCACGAAGGGCUGUAUUUAUUAGAUAAAAACCAAUGCAGGCAACUGCUCUUUGGUGAUUCAUAAUAACUUCUCGAAUCGUAUGGUCUUGCACCGACGAUGCUUCAUUCAAAUU
rnacentral:rRNA from 1 species